rnacentral:rRNA from 1 species
ACUCAAAUGAAUUGACGGGGACCCGCACAAGCGGUGGAGCAUGUGGUUUAAUUCGAAGCAACGCGAAGAACCUUACCGGGUCUUGACAUCCCGCUGACACACUCUUAACAGAGGAUUCCCUUCGGGGCAGCGGAGACAGGUGGUGCAUGGUUGUCGUCAGCUCGUGUCGUGAGAUGUUGGGUUAAGUCCCGCAACGAGCGCAACCCUUACGCUUAGUAGCCAGCAGGUAAUGCUGGGGACUCUGGGCGGACUGCCGGGGCUAACCCGGAGGAAGGCGGGGAUGACGUCAAAUCAUCAUGCCCCUUAUGGUCCGGGCUACACACGUGCUACAAUGGCGAACACAAAGGGAAGCGACCCUGCGAAGGUGAGCUAAUCUCAGAAAAGUCGUCUCAGUUCGGAUUGCAGUCUGCAACUCGACUGCAUGAAGCCGGAAUCGCUAGUAAUCGCGAAUCAGCAUGUCGCGGUGAAUACGUUCCCGGGUCUUGCACACACCGCCCGU